CAGCAUGGCCAGUUCCAACGUAUUUGGCUUGGAGAUGUUCGAGUUGGGAAUUGAUGUUAAACCUAUCGCUUGCCUGACAACAUUAAUUAAAGAGUGAGGGACAAAAAUAAAACCAAAUUUACGGUUUAGGUGGUUAGGGAAUUAGAAUCUG